CAAACGGGGAGGAGACCAUCCAACCGUGUAAAUUUACUACGUAGCUAGUGGCGGUGUACCUGGUUCGUUUCAUAACCUACAGAGAAGCUAAUUUAAUGAAGCAGGAGACGGUUAGAUGCGUGGCCACAUUACGCCUAGUUGCUAAAGACCGUCUGUACCACAAGGAUAGCUAUUCCGUAUAAUAUGGCUCCACGUGCAGAGAGGUGUAAGUGUAUAAAGGGCAUAAGCCAACGCAUCCGGACACGAUCUACUGCACAACGAUGCGGUACCAGACUUCAGGAGUUUGUACUUUAUUUUCUCUUGGAUAUCUUCUAAUCUAUCAAGACCAGUGAGGCACAAGCUUUACUAAACGAUUCGGCUGCUGCUUGUAUAGUAAUAAUAAAAAUAUCAGAGUAUAGGAAUUUUAAGCAUCAAGUAUCACUAUUCCUGUACUGCAUGUCUACACAGCUGAUUUAAAGCAGACUCGGUGUAUUUCAUGGGAAAAACAACUAGCCUAUUAAAGAGACUCGUAAAAUGAAUACUAAGGAGACUUAUCUCAGAGCGGUUGGUCUGUCAUAACUACUUGACUGGCACGAAUUAGUGCCAACAAUAAAUAAAGUAUGAAUGAAAGUUUAUAUUAUAAAGCUCUUAGAAGGUCUGCUGCUCGCGAAACAUUACGGCGUAAGUUUAAAAGCGGACAAACAACCUCAGACGUCUCAGCUGUUGUGAAGUUCGGAAAGGCCGGCCAGCAUAACGUAACGUUGGCCAAAGGAAACGACUGGCGGACGGAGCGCAGCCGCACCAUGGUUGUGACAAAGGGGUGUGGUUUACGGGAACUUGGUUGGAAAUGGCGUACAUGCCAGGCAUGUACAUUGCGCAUGCGGAAACACUUUACGGCACACUUAUACGUCCCUUACAGUCACGUGAUAUGUAUUUGCAACGGCAAUAUUAGGUACCGCGAUUAUUUGGCAGCAGCAAUUGCAAACUUCGAAUAUUUAAGUAUGGCGGAAAAGAUAUGCCGGAAAAAGUCCAUUAUUUAUCAGACGGUUGUCUUCAACGGACAUCCGGAUAGAAAUACAAUUAAAUAUUUAAGCAGAUUUAAGUUGGUGAAUGUAUAUAUAUUAAGACCACUUGGAUUUUCGUGGUUUGCGUAUUCGAGGGAUGCGGACAGGGUGUCACGGCACCAUUUUGGUAGCCCUUCCAGCGGUUCCUGUCAUUUAUGCUUGUGAGCUUGCAACCAGAGUCCACCCUGCAGCUGUGCUAUGUUUUUAAGCUGGGUGUCCACUGCUCCAAGAACUUCCCCUGGUUAAAUCUGUCUUCCUUUCAGAAAGUCCAUUGUCGGAAGUAUUCUAGUUUUUAAAAUUAGGUUUAAUCGGCAAAAAAAAUGAAACCAUGUCACCUUAAUUUGUUUUGCCUGCAUCAGGGGCGUGUAGUACAGCAGUUACCCGAAGAUCGCUAUUCCCGUUCUAAAUAGCCGCAUUUCUAUGGCGUUAAAUUAGUGCCAAAAGUCUUGCGCUCGCGAGCAGAAAAUCCAUGCUCUCUACGCGCUCGCGAUUGCACAGCACUCACUCGCUCGACGUUAAAUUAGUGCCAAAAGUCGAACUACGCGCGUAUGUGCGCUCGCGUGCUGAAAACCCAUCCCCUCUAAGCGCUCGCGUUCGCUGGACCUUAUCUACGCGCUCGCCUCUGCACAGCACUCGCUCGACAGGAAGAAUUUUGACACUUUGGGGGCGGGAACAGUGGCUAAUGGCUCCGCUUCUUUGUUUUUUUUAUAUUGACUACGAUUGGCUGUUUGCUUUGGUAGAAGAUGAAGAUAAUUGACCAAUGGAUGUGGGAUUCACACUGUCAUGGUGUCGGAGCAACUCGGAUACCACCUUCUCGAAAGUCUUCUGCAUAAAAUAGAAAUGGGAUUCAGAGCGACUCCACUAAAUUUGGAUUACCUGGAGUUCCUUUGUCAUCAGGAACUGUAUCUUCUGCAGGCCCUGUCUAAUCACAUUGAAGUACCUACUGCUAUCACCCUGGCUUUGCAAGAGCUCUUUGACCUUGUGAGAGCACAUCUGGAACGUCCAGCUCCAUGUGUCACACAGGAAGUCACUGCCACCAUUGGACGACCCAAGAUUUUGAUUGAAGAUCAACAUUUGAAAGAAAUGCUCCAUACUCAACUUCCUGUGCCUUGCAUAGCCACACUGAUGGGUGUUUUAAGAAGAAUGAAAGAGUAUGAGUUCUGUGUAAGGGGCACAUAUAAUUCCAUCAGUGAUGAGGAACUUGACAAUUUGGUUUCUUCUGUCAAGAAUGAUCUACCAAAUGCAGGCUACAGGAUGGUCAGAGGGAGGCUGCAGUCAAUGGGCUACAGGGUUCGGUGGAGAAGAGUUGCAGCCUCCAUGCAUAGAGUUGAUUCCAUGCGCAUCAUAUCAAGGUUGUCAAGUCUUGGCUGUGUUGUACGCAGAAUGUACUCUGUACCAGGGCCUUUGUCUCUGGUACAUGUGGACACAAACCACAAGUUGAUCCGAUUUGUAUUAACAGCAAAUUUAUUUGAAGUUUGUUCAUCUACAGCCCUGGGUGGAUUGGUGUGAGGUGGUGGUGGGGCUUUGGAGAAGAUUUCCUGCCGAUCAACACUGGCAGCUUAUAUCUAUGUGUCAUGGAGGUCUCGGGACUCACAGAUAUUCAGAGACAUGUGGAUAGUUUACCAGUGUUUUUCAGCAGGAAAUAGUUAUUACUACAAAUUGUCACCCCCCCCCACAGAAACUGGAUCCGGCUAUAGUGGGAAAAUCUUUUUUUUUUUUUUUUUUUUUGUGAGAACUUGAAAGCAAAGUAAACAAAACUUGGAAAAAUAUAUAUGCUCAUGCACCAAUUUUCUAAUCUGGGGUCUAAAGUGGUCAGGCUUGCAAGUGUAUUUGGUUAUUUGUCUAUCCUAGCCUGUUGCAGUGUAUAUUUCCUGUAUAUUUUGCAUGUAAAAAUGUUGUUUGUUAUGUCAGUGUUUAAUAUUAAUCAUGUAGUCUUCAUGAACUUUGUUUUAACCCGACUUAAUGGCUUUCUUCAUCUUGGCCAGGGACUGCAUUUGGAAAGUAGCCACUUGACUAAAAUUGGCACAUUUUCAGAAAUGCCAGCAACAAUACUGAUAAUGAACACCCCUCUAACUGACUCUCAGUUGGUUUAGAAAAAAGACUUUUAAGAGAAAAGAAAGCCUU